UGUUAAAAAUUUCAUCAAUUUCUACUAUUAAAAAUUGACGCGGCUGACUGAAUAACUAAACAAUUACACGAGGUGUGCCACGUGUACCUUAUUUUAGUGUAUAUCGACUAGUUUUUAACAGUAAAAAUGGAUGAAUUGUUAAUA
rfam:Gossypium arboreum cultivar AKA8401 contig_509_3, whole genome shotgun sequence.